rnacentral:rRNA from 1 species
AGUGAACGCUGGCGGUAGGCCUAACACAUGCAAGUCGAACGGCAGCACAUUAAGAGCUUGCUCUUACGGGUGGCGAGUGGCGGACGGGUGAGGAAUACAUCGGAAUCUACUUUUUCGUGGGGGAUAACGUAGGGAAACUUACGCUAAUACCGCAUACGACCUACGGUUGAAAGCAGGGGAUCUUCGGACCUUGCGCGAUUGCAUGAGCCGAUGUCGGAUUAGCUAGUUGGCGGGGUAAAGGCCCACCAAGGCGACGAUCCGUAGCUGGCCUGAGAGGAUGAUCAGCCACACUGGAACUGAGACACGGUACAGACUCCUACGGGAGGCAGCAGUGGGGAAUAUUGGACAAUGGGCGCAAGCCUGAUCCAGCCAUACCGCGUGGGUGAAGAAGGCCUUCGGGUUGUAAAGCCCUUUUGUUGGGAAAGAAAAGCAGCAGGUUAAUACCCCGCUGUUCUGACGGUACCCAAAGAAUAAGCACCGGCUAACUUCGUG